rnacentral:lncRNA from 1 species
AUUUUAUUUAUUUAUUUAUUUUUUUUUGGCAUAUUCUUAUUCAACUUCCUGUGUUUACCUUAUUCCCGCAUCAAGCAUAUCUAUUACAAGUAUAGCGCUUCUAAAAUCACCAGAUAUUUCACUUCCCAAGUUCAUUUUCAUACUAUAUAUAUAUGUUAAAAGCUUGCAAAUACUUGAGUUAAUUAACCUUUGAACUUGUCCAAGAUGGAUGGAAAAGUUUUAUUAUAGAAAUUCACCCUCAUCAGAGAUCUCUCAAAUGCCACUAGGGGGAGGAGAUCCCUCUCCAAAACUCUGCCACUAGGGGGAGGAGAUCCCUCUCCAAAACUCAAGAAUAUAGCUGUUCUUUCUUGUGAUUGACAAAUGCAUGCAAGAAUACAUAUAUAAAUACAUAUUGCAAUACAAUUGAGAGAGAGAG